GACGAACGCUGGCGGCGUGCCUAACACAUGCAAGUCGAGCGGGAACCUCAGGAGGGGUAACCCUCCUGAGGGGAGAGCGGCGAACGGGUGAGUAACACGUGGGCAACCUGCCCCGGACACCGGGAUAACCCAGGGAAACCUGAGCUAAUACCGGAUACUCCGGCGCGAUCGCAUGGUCGCGCCGGGAAAGCUCCGACGGUCCGGGAUGGGCCCGCGGCCUAUCAGCUUGUUGGUGGGGUAACGGCCCACCAAGGCGACGACGGGUAGCUGGUCUGAGAGGACGGCCGGCCACACUGGGACUGAGACACGGCCCAGACUCCUACGGGAGGCAGCAGUGGGGGAUCUUGCGCUAAUGCGCGAAAGCGUGACGCAGCGACGCCGCGUGGGGGAUGAAGGCCCUCGGGUUGUAAACCCCUUUCGGCAGGGACGAAGCGAAAGUGACGGUACCUGCAGAAGAAGUCCCGGCUAACUACGUGCCAGCCGCCGCCGUAACAC
rnacentral:rRNA from 1 species